CGUAGGGCGCAAGCGUUGUCCGGAUUUAUUGGGCGUAAAGAGCUCGUAGGCGGCUCAGUAAGUCAGGUGUGAAACCUCCAGGCUCAACCUGGAGACGCCACCUGAUACUGCUGUGGCUAGAGUCCGGUAGGGGAGCGUGGAAUUCCUGGUGUAGCGGUGAAAUGCGCAGAUAUCAGGAGGAACACCAGCGGCGAAGGCGGCGCUCUGGGCCGGAACUGACGCUGAGGAGCGAAAGCGUGGGUAGCAAACAGG
rnacentral:rRNA from 1 species